rnacentral:rRNA from 1 species
AGAGGUGGCAAGCGUUGUUCGGAAUUACUGGGCGUAAAGGGCGCGUAGGCGGCCUUCUAAGUCGGACGUGAAAGCCCCAGGCUUAACCUGGGAACUGCGUCCGUGUACUGGGAGGCUUGGAUUCGGGAGAGGGAUGUGGAAUUCCAGGUGUAGCGGUGAAAUGCGUAGAUAUCUGGAGGAACACCGGUGGCGAAGGCGGCAUCCUGGACCGAGAUCGACGCUGAGGCGCGAAAGCUAGGGGAGCAAACGGCAUUAGAUACCCCGGUAGUCCUAGCCCUAAACGAUGAGUGCUUGGUGUGGCGGGUAUCGAUCCCUGCCGUGCCGAAGCUAACGCAUUAAGCACUCCGCCUGGGGAGUACGGUCGCAAGGCUG